GUCGUAAUGAAUUGAUACAAAUGGUCAUAGUUUUGCAAGUCGGUGCCAACUCUAAGCAUUGAUUGUGUAUCUUGCCGAGCAGCUCCACGUGAUAGGUGACACAUUGGCCUACCCGCACAUCCCGCUCCAUUGACUAGGAGGAAGCCAACUCCGUCGUUCUAACUGGUUGGGCCGGGUCAGACCGAGCCACCCGCCGCACUCUCCCUUGUUUCGCUGCCUCGCCCUCGUCUCUCCCAAUCGCCGCCGCUCGCAACGCAGUUCAAGGAUGAGAGCAGCGAUGACUUCUCGAGCCUGCAGGACAUCGGCUCCUCCUCCGAUGACAUGCAGUACCAGAUUCCUGCUAGCAUUAAAGACCAAGACUACAUGGGCAUCGAGACGGGAUCUCGGGAUCUUUGUGUGGGGCAUCGGCUGCCAGCUCACUGUCGUGUAGCAUUUGAAGGAUUUGAGACGGCAAGAGGUUUCUAGUUUGUGUUCGGCCUGUAAGAAUGAUGCACAUAUUUUGUUAUUUGUAUUAAAAUUGGUAGUAACUUUUAUAGGCAUUUGCUUAGGCCCUGUUUGGAACCAUUCAGAUUAUAUAAUCCAGUUUUUAUAAUUUA